UGUAUAAAAAUGAGGCUAUCUACUUCGGAAAAGAGAGUAAUCGCAACGUAAAUUCUAAUGAAGAUUUUUAUGACUAUCUCGGAAAUUAGAGCCGCACGGCGGUAACGUGUAUAGAGAAAAGUUGUUUAGAAUAAUGACAUCGACAGCAUAUUUGAAAGUCAUCAAAAUCGUUUUAUAGAAUAGUCAAAAAUUAUAAAUAUUGCAAGAUAUCAGUUACCUGCAGAAUAGAAGGACGGAAUAUCACGCUGUAUUUAAAUUCUGUAUCGUAUCUUUUUCGUGAGAUUGCUUAAGAUGUGUAGAUGAAAUGAUUAAAUAAAGGAAAAGCGAAACACAACUUAUCAAAAUAAAAGACAUUACAGUAAAAUGGCAGAGAUUUCUGAUUCUGCCUGCUGAAUUGGUAUGUCUGCUGUUACAUUCAUGUUUUAUGAAGCACUCUAUAUACAUAAAUGUAUACGCGAGUGUAUUUCGCUGACGAUUUCAACUGGAGCCGUUCCACGGGUUGUAGAAACGAAACGGAACGAAACGAUAACCGAGUCCAUAGACUACUACGACGCACUAACGGUUGCACGUUUGUCAUUCUGCCAGAAAUUCGUCGUCCUUUGUUGCAGCAAAUGUUACGCAUGCAUUUCCGGCGUGCUUGUAUGAGAGUAAAUCGAGACCGGAGUGAACGAUUGUGCCAAGCCAAGGUGCAACAAACGGAGUUUCAUAAAAUAAUGACGUCAAUCGCCGACAGAGGGAAAAAAUGUUGGAACAUUCACUGCGAACGCAGCAUUAUGUCAUAGGAUGUUUUACGUCGCUUCGUCGUUUUACGAAGAUAUUACGUGAAAGAACGUAAAUUACAGUGAAAUCGGCGGAAUGGCUGAAGCGAAGAAUCGCGUCCCUAAUAUUAUUGAAAAACACUGUUUCAAGAAUUAUUUGUAUCUCAAUGGUUGUUAUUAUACGCAUACGUUUGAGGAUUUUAUUAUGUAAAUUCAUUUCCAACUGCUUUUUACUGUAUUUGUAUGACAUUUGCGUUUCAUGGAAACAAAUAAAUAGAUUACAAGUACCAAUUACUGCGGUAAAAUGAUUUAUUCGUACUUUGGUCGACUAUUUCUUUUGAUUUCUUACGAAAGAACAAUUCAUUAGCUGUUUUGCGCUUAAAAAUGACAUAU